CUGUAGCUGUGUUUUGGCUGCUGGCAUAAGGUGAGCCGUCGGUUGUUUUUCACGUUUCGGAGCUGCUUCAUAAGUGAUGACGAGUGGGGCUGGCUAUGUGUGGGGUCAAUAGAACACAAUGGUUUUCCUCCUGGCCUGCGUAAAAGAAAAAAGCCCUAGACCGACGAGCGGUAAAAGUAAAAGGCGACGCGGCUUCCUCCUCCCCUCGCUCUCUUCUCGCCUCCUCCUCUCCGCCCUCUCGCUCGCCGCCGCCGCCGCCAUGGCCUCCCCUGCCGCUCAUCUCCACCUCCUCCAGCGAGCCCAAUCGCUCCCACUCCAUCCCCUCAACCCAUGGAUUUCGGGGCAUCCCCUCUCGGCCACCACCUCUCCUCCUCUCUUUGUUUCCCCCAGGUUCCUGAUCUGGAGCGGGAGAGACAGAUACGGCAAAAAGCGCUGGUGCCGGCGUGGGAUGAUAGAGGCCACCACCUCUCCUCACCUCCUCCCAUGUUCCGGUGGCGGCACCGGGGAAGAAAGGAGCAGCAGCCAUAGCAGGCGCGUUGCUGACGAACGCGAUCUGCAGCAGCCGCAGCAGGAGGCGGUGUUGAUGAAGCGGCGGUCUGUGCCGUCGCCGCCGCUGUCGUCCUCUGGCAGAAGGUCAAGCCAACAUGAAUCAACAACGCCAUGGCGAGAAACGACCAUGGGUCCUGGAGCCGAGACCUUCGCAAUAAGCAUCGCACGGACCUAGAGAGUUUAGCGUUGACAUCACGGACAUUGAGAACACUUUGCAUUACCCUCAAAAAAGAGAACACUUUGCAUUAUUUCUGUUAGCCAUUGGACAGAGUAUAAGAAGCAGAUGUUCCCGUGUUCUGAAAGAAGUUUUUGGUUUUGCUCCUUGGUGCUACCUGUUUGCUUCUCUUGGUAGCUGAGGGCCCACAUGAGAAGGUAUCAUCAUCUUUCUGUUUUAGUACAUUUAUGUAUUUCAAAUUAGACGAACUGAGUGGCGGUAUAGUGAAUUGAACUGCAAGUAUGCAAAUUAAUAGAGCACUACUUUCACAAUCUCUGGAUAUGCAUGUGUUGCUUUUGAAUGGUGAAAUCACUGAAAUGUAUUAUCUAUUUAUUGUGAAUGAGAAGGGUUAAGGUUUAUACCCUGCACUUUUUAAAAUUAAGGUAGCUAGAUGUUAGACUCGAACCUACGUGAGUGGGAGCAUUCGUCUACCCUGCUUGUGGUGCGUGAGCUCUUGCAGCAGGAUAAACCAUUAUAUUUCGUCUUCAAUGUAGCAUAUGCAGGAACUGCUUUGGUAUACCAGGUUUGUAUUAUCGUGCAACUAAGUAUUUAUCAUUGCAGUUAAGUUCUCUGCACGUCAUUUAUUUUUGCAGGCUCUGGCUUGCACACCUUUGUUGUAUUUAGGGCCUCAUAUUGCCCUUUUCACAAUGAAAGCGGUUCAGUGUGGCCGGGUUGAUUUAAAGAGUGCUCCUUAUGACACUAUUCUUUAAAAAGUAGGCCUUCAUGGUUGGGGAAAGACUGUCCGGAGUUUGGAUCUCCACUGUAUCAGGAAACAAUCCCAUUUAGCAAAAUACUCCAUGAAGUUCAUCUUCAAGUUGUUCCUUGGGGCAUUGGGACCGCACUUGGAGAGCUUCCUCCAUAUUUUACUUCUAGAGCAGGUUAUGUUUAUAAUGCUUUGCUCUUGCCAACUCGAACAUAAUGUACCUUUGUAACCAUCUCAUGCUAUACCUCAUUAUUCUUUAAGUUUUUAUUCCAGGGCUUCGUUGUGAAUCGCUUAAAUUAUGUAUAAAUGCUUCACUGCGCCCAAAUUUACAUGAACACAUCAGAUGUGUAAUUGAGUGUCAGAAAGAAGUGCAUAGUCCUAUUAGCAAGAAGCUUCUUGAUUGAUUACAAAUUAAUCAAACAUCCAUCUAUAGCACACUUUGAUCAGUGAUGACCGUUGGAUUUUUAUUUGAUUGCUUCUUAUUUGUGUGCCAUCUUCCAGUAUAGCCUUCAAUGAGAUAUAUAGUUAUCCUGUGUGCAGGGCAGAGUAUACAUAAAGUUUAGUUUUAUGCUUCUUAUUCGUUUACUCAUCUUUGCAUUGUAACCUGAGCUCAUCUCUUAAUUCGUGGGAGAUCAGGGCAGACAUGUCUUCAUGGUGCUUGCGGAGGGGCAGGGCCCCUGAGGAAAAGUGGUGGUUGGGGAGGAGGACGCCCUUGUCCUUGGUGUCCGGGCCGCCAUGGCUGACGCCGGAGCCGUUGGUUGGCCUUGAGGUCAUCCGUCGUUGGCGUCCUCAUCAUCCAUCCAACCACCAGGGAGGAGAUCCCUGAGGCAUUUGAUUCUUGUGGGAUCCCCACACAUCUUGCAAGAUCAACAAGUGGCUGGGCCUCUACAUUAUUCAGAAAAGCUAUUUUUAUCUUUCAUUUAUUUUUCUAAUUUAUGUGCCCGUGUAUUCGCCUCCGUUCCGCUCUUGUUGAAGUUCCAACGAAUUUCUGUGCUACCUAAGAGGUACUAAUGCUCAUAUAUUACAAUUUGGUAGCCACAACCUUCAGUCACGGGAUCUUGAGAAAAGCAGUUUAGGCAUUUUGUUUGUGUCAACUAUACAGAAUCCCUGCGGUUCGAUUUUUGGUUUGUAGGCAACCAACACAAUAUGCAGGCAAACAGAGAUGAGGUUUUGCUGUAGUAGGCAAAUAUUCAUUGUCCAUUUUAUGUGUUUGUAGGCAACUGAAGUACUCAACCUGUAUAUAUCCGUUAAUUCGUGUAUAAGCCAAUCUUUUUUGGCAUAUCCAUUGCAUGAUCUACCUAUGUAUGUUUGUAAUUUUGCCUUACUAAGCUGCUAUGCGUAUACUCAGUUUGUCUUUACUAAGCUGCUAUACAUACACUCAAUCUUGUGCUGAUUCCAGCUUUGAGCUUGCAACUGAACCUUAAGACUACUAAUUACUUUUGUGGAUGGUUAAACCUGAAAUCUGAAACAAAAUUUGGUAGCAGUCUUGCCCCCCUCAGCAAAAAAAUAUGCAUUGAGGUCAGCUAUCUUUAAUGUCCCUUUUUUCGUUUCAGUGAUGCAUGACCAUAGCGUGACAUGAAGUUCUAUCUUUGAUCCUUGCCAUUCUACUGCUUUGUUGAACCAUCUCAAGGCUGGUGGAUGAUAUAUUCUCUGCCAUGAAUGGAUGUUUUUGGCGUUGUGAGAUGGCGUAGGUCACUGAUGAGGCAAGUGACCGAGGUGAGCUCAUGAAGACAAAGCGGCACAAAUAAACUUCUGACAAACUCAUUGGAAUGGGAGCCUCCCCAAAACUUAGCCGUGAUCCGCCACAACCGCCAACGGCGAGGCCAGAGGUGACCGUAUCCGGCACAGGUUGCCAUGGCACGGACGGCGACGACGACAGGAGGGGCACGCACAUCCAUGGGACGGGACGCCGCCAUAGAGAUGGAGCUCCUUCUCCACAUCACGCAGAGGCCCCAUGGAGCCCCCCUCCUUCUCCGGUGACUCUUCUCAGGCCCGACCCCCUACCUCUUCCCCCUCCCUCUCCUGUACUUUGAGCUAUACCAGCUCUGUUUCAGAUUCUGAAGGCCUCUGUACCAUACUUUUAGCUUCAUUUGCAAUCACAUACAAUUUUCUUGUUUUGUCUUCUGAUUCACUUCUCUCGACAUUUGUUUGUGUGCCACUUAUUAUGGCCAGCUUGGCCAUUUCCUCUGGAAGGAGUCACUCAACUCAAAAAGAACAAAGAACAAAUAAUAAAGACUAUUUUAUUUUUCUUGCAAUAAUUCAGGUUGAUUGUUCCGACCAUUCAGGUUGCAGGAUUUGAGGUGUGGUCGUUGAGGUGGGGCAGCAAAGAUAAUUAGCAGUCUGUAUGCUAAUGAGGAGAACGUCCCUCUAUUAAUUUUGGGUGUUGGGUUCUGUUUAGUGAAAUUUUGAAAAUAGUUGGCCUGGUAAAACACCACUGUUUCCCCUGUGGGUCAAUAGGGACUUGACAAACAAAAGAUGCAUCACUCUCCAUUUAGUGGCCUAAAAAUACUGGCAUGUUUGGAUGAAAUUUUCAUCUAUAUGUAUAAGCCGUGGGCUAUUCCAAGAAGAGGGUGACUAUGCAUCAGUUGUACAAUCAUGUGGCCAUCUGCUGCUUUUUUGAAUCGUAUAAAAUCUAGAGCUACCUUACAAAACUGUUCUGUUUACUAUGGAGUAAAAUCUAGAGCUAGCUUAUAAUACUGCUUGAAAAUAGCUUUGGCUCUUCACACCUGGGAGUAAUAUGACAGUUUGCAUUCCUAUUUUUGUUUUCUCUGUAUAUAUAUACAGUUUUCAUAUUCUAUUUGUUUGCUCCUGAAGCUUAUGUUUUCCUUUUUCAGAAUUGAGUGUGUAUGAACAAAGCAAUAGAGGUUGUGUCAAUUCCUAGAGCCUAAUAUGUUCUUUUGUCUCCUGGUGAUUAGUUCGAAUGGCCGUGUGAGGUAAUAGAGCUUUCUAUCGUUGCUUCCUCAUCCUUCUCCGCCUUCCAUUCUCACAUUUGUUAAUGAAAAAAUAACCCUGCAUUCUCACUUUGUUAAUGAAAAAAAAUAAAGGGAUUACAAGCACUGCUCUGUGCAAGAAAUGGGUGUAUGUGUUCUAAUUUAGUUGCUUGGCCUGCCAGCCUAUCUUUCCUGGAUGCUUACUUUCUUACAUGUUGCACGUCAUGUUACAGUUUCGCCGGCCUGUCUCGGCUCAUGUUAGGCACCAUGUCACCGUGUCUAACUAUUUAUGCACAACAUGGUGACAUGGUGUCUAUAGCCUGUUGGGGCGCCUGCGGGUAUUCUCACUGACCACCUCUGCUUGUUUUGGCUCCUUCUAAUUGAUGUGUUACUUUGUCUAUUUUCAUGUACCCAGAUCCCUGACAAAAUCCAUGUAUUUAACCGUGGCAUGUUUGGCAGCUGCAGCCGCGUGGCAAUUAAUUAAUUCUCAUUCAACGUAAUUUACUUCUCCCCCUUUAUGUAUCAUGGAUGGAUAUACAUGGUGGUUGGCUGUUAUUAUCGAAGCAAGAGUUACUGAUGAUGACUACAUUUGAGCUGGUUUGCCGCUUACAAAUCGAUAUCAGUGGUCCAUGUCACAAUAAACAAGUGAUUUGUACUUAAACAUGACAUGGGGAACCUUGGAUACACCAUUCAGGACAGGGAUAUACUCGAUCUGAGAGAACAUGGGCUUCUUACCUCCAUCUUUUGUACCCAGUUUACUAGAUAUUAGAAAACAAUGGGUAUUUAAAAAAAAUUGUUACAGAAGUGCCUUGAAUACAUUCAGCAUAAAUGGGUUGACCAGGACAUAUAUGAAUCGGAUUUGUUAUUAACUAUACUUGGAAAACGAUGAUGUGAUGAAGAUAUGUCUGCAGAUGAAUAUGACGGUUAUAGAUUUCAGUUGUGCUCUUAAGCAUAAUUCUGCAUCUACAACUAUCGUCCCUCUUGGAAGUGUUCAGAGGUCCUUGGCAAUAGAAGAGAAAUCUUUAGAUUGGAUGAUGUAUUUGAGUUGUUAAAUAAUGCUCAUGCCAAUUAGGUAAGUUUAGAAUAUAUUUUUGUUUAUCUAUAAUUUGAGCUUCAUUCAAUGAGCAAAGUUUGAUAAUUUUUAUC